rnacentral:rRNA from 1 species
UACGAAGGGGGCUAGCGUUGCUCGGAAUUACUGGGCGUAAAGCGCACGUAGGCGGAUCUUUAAGUCAGGGGUGAAAUCCUGGAGCUCAACUCCAGAACUGCCUUUGAUACUGAGGACCUUGAGUUCGGGAGAGGUGAGUGGAACUGCGAGUGUAGAGGUGAAAUUCGUAGAUAUUCGCAAGAACACCAGUGGCGAAGGCGGCUACCUGGCCCAAUACUGACACUCAGGUGCGACAGCGUGGGGAGCAAACAGG